rnacentral:tRNA from 1 species
AAAGCUAUAGGUUAAAGAGACCAUUGGCCUUCAAAGCCGAAAGUGGAAAGUACCCCUGGCUUUG